rnacentral:lncRNA from 1 species
CUGGAAGUUGCCUGAGUCUGAAGAUCAGGUUAUUCUUCUGUUUUAAGAGUAAUAACUAUUUCCUGAAGAACUCAGAAUGUGGCUGUGUACUGACACCGGUAGCCAAACUGCCAGUUGUGAGGAAAGAUGACAAACUGAAACAGGCAAGCAGGUUGUCUCAUCUCUCACAGGCUGCAGAUGCAUACGUGUUGAAUAAAGCUGUCUUCAUCCUUGGCAUCUUGAAUACAUACUGCAAUAAGUAAGCUGGGAGGCUGUCACAUUUACACAGAGUUGGAGGUCCCUGUUCUGCUACAGCAAUGGAACGGUUUUGCUACACCACUGUCCUAGGACAAUAUUGAUAAAAACAGAUAUUAACUGAGUUGCAAAAAUACCAAGUUGAAUUUCAAAAUGUAGCAUUUUGGAAAUGCCAGCCACAUGUAAUUUUUCAAAACU